GAAAAUCCAUUUUCUCUCGAUUCAUCCUUGUUUAUCCCAUAUUCACAAAGAAAUCAAGAAUCACAACUAUUAUCUUCACGAAUCUACAAACCGGGGCUAAGCAGAUCUUGUCGUCAAAUGCUUCCACUCCCUUCAUAUUGAGAAACGGAUCUUAUCGUCAAAUUUUUCUAGAUCUUCCCUUACACCAGGAUUGGUUUGAUGCAGUUUUUCUACGUUUUAUUAUUGUUAGAUCUCUGUUUUUUCAUGCAUUUAUAUGGCUCUUUCCUCAAGUAAAAUAAGCAGGAAUGUGGAAAUAAUGACAUCGAAGGUGUUGAUUCAAGUAAUGCAUGCUAUGGGGGAACUGCAGCUUUAUUCAACUGUGUCAACUGGGUGGAGAGUAGUUCAUGGGAUGGACGCUAUGGACUUGUUGUUUGCACAGACAGUGAGGUUUAUGCAGAAGGACCAGCUAGGCCUACUGGAGGAGCAGCUGCUAGUGCUAUGCUAGUAGGGCCUGAUGCUCCUAUUGCAUUUGAAAGCAAAUUGAGGGGAAGUCAUAUGUCACAUGCAUAUGAUUUUUACAAGCCUAAUCUUGCUAGUGAAUAUCCGGUAAUACUUCCU